UACGAAGGGGGCUAGCGUUGCUCGGAAUUACUGGGCGUAAAGGGCGCGUAGGCGGACAGUUUAGUCAGAGGUGAAAGCCCAGGCUCAACCUUGGAAUUGCCUUGAUACUGGAUGGCUUGAAUUCGGGAGAGGGAGUGCGAGAAUUCCAGGUGUAGCGGUGAAAUGCGUAGAUAUCUGGAGGAAUACCGGUGGCGAAGGCGGCAUCCUGGACCGACAUUGACGCUGAGGAGCGAAGCCAGGGAGCAAACGGG
rnacentral:rRNA from 1 species